AAUAGAUACCCCGGUAGUCCACGCCGUAAACGAUGAGUGCUAAGUGUUAGGGGGUUUCCGCCCCUUAGUGCUGCAGCUAACGCAUUAAGCACUCCGCCUGGGGAGUACGGUCGCAAGACUGAAACUCAAAGGAAUUGACGGGGGCCCGCACAAGCGGUGGAGCAUGUGGUUUAAUUCGAAGCAACGCGAAGAACCUUACCAGGUCUUGACAUCCCGUUGACCACUGUAGAGAUAUAGUUUCCCCUUCGGGGGCAACGGUGACAGGUGGUGCAUGGUUGUCGUCAGCUCGUGUCGUGAGAUGUUGGGUUAAGUCCCGCAACGAGCGCAACCCUUGAUCUUAGUUGCCAUCAUUUAGUUGGGCACUCUAAGGUGACUGCCGGUGACAAACCGGAGGAAGGUGGGGAUGACGUCAAAUCAUCAUGCCCCUUAUGACCUGGGCUACACACGUGCUACAAUGGACGAUACAAACGGUUGCCAACUCGCGAGAGGGAGCUAAUCCGAUAAAGUUGUUCUCAGUUCGGAUUGUAGGCUGCAACUCGCCUA
rnacentral:rRNA from 1 species